GAGGUGCUUGUAAGGGGGCGAAUGUGACAAACCACGAGCUGUGGCUGGCUGUGGCUGUCCGUGGCUCUGAUGCUCUGACCCUGGCUCACAAAUCCUUGCU